UUUAUUCAUUCAUUCAUUCAUUUAUUCAGCUCCAUGCCCCAUGUGCAGUCCAAACCUGAGAUCAAGACAUGAGCUAUUAUCAAGAGUUAUGCCUAACCAACUGAGCCACCCAGAAAGAAUAGAGCACUCCACAUCACAAAACAGAACUGGACUACCUCACACUGAGAGAAUGUUUAUAACUGGCACCAUCGAAUCUGCAUGUAAUCAAGAAAUGUUGCAGACCACUGAACUCCCUUCAUUCAUUACCUACCCUAAAUUCCAAGCAAACAAACAAACAAAAGUAACCUUGGGCCAGGCUAAAAAUGUUGGAGUUGGCUUUUGAACAAGAGUCCGCUUUCUCCCCACAUUGCCA
rnacentral:lncRNA from 1 species